UCGGGGAAGGAUCGGCCCGCGUUGGAUUAGGUAGUUGGUGGGGUAAUGGCCUACCAAGCCGACGAUCCAUAGCUGGUUUGAGAGGAUGACCAGCCACACUGGGACUGAGACACGGCCCAG
rnacentral:rRNA from 1 species